rnacentral:rRNA from 1 species
AUUGAACGCUGGCGGAAUGCUUUACACAUGCAAGUCGAACGGCAGCACGGGGGCAACCCUGGUGGCGAGUGGCGAACGGGUGAGUAAUACAUCGGAACGUGCCCAGUCGUGGGGGAUAACGUAGCGAAAGUUACGCUAAUACCGCAUACGAUCUACGGAUGAAAGCGGGGGACCGUAAGGCCUCGCGCGAUUGGAGCGGCCGAGGUGAGAUUAGGUAGUUGGUGGGGUAAAGGCUCACCAAGCCGACGAUCUGUAGCUGGUCUGAGAGGACGACCAGCCACCCUGGGACUGAGACACGGCCCAGACUCCUACGGGAGGCAGCAGUGGGGAAUUUUGGGCAAUGGGCGCAAGCCUGAUCCAGCCAUUCCGCGUGCAGGACGAAGGCCUUCGGGUUGUAAACUGCUUUUGUACGGAACGAAAAGGCUCUGGUUAAUACCUGGGGCUCAUGACGGUACCGUAAGAAUAAGCACCGGCUAACUACGUGCCAGCAGCCGCCGUAA